rnacentral:snRNA from 1 species
GAGUGUGAAGACCAUCAGACACUCCAGAGAUCGCCAGGGGUAAUUCUGCUGAUCUGGCUGGCUAGGUGAUGUCUCCUUCCUCCCUCACUGCACAGGGGGGGCCCUCCUGAAGCUGCAGGCUCAGUCUCCCUGAAUAGAGAAGGACCUGUCUCCGGACGAAGGUAGAAGAGUAGCCCUCCCCUGCUAGAGCCUCCAAGCAAGCUCAGAGCGGCCAGCUUCCAGGGCUGUGUCUUUAAGCAGCCUCAUGGACCCCUAGUUAUCACACCGGGCUAUUUCUUUUCU